rnacentral:lncRNA from 13 species
CCUGCUCCACCAAAUCUCCUAGGAAAGAAAGAGUUGUAGUACUGAAACUCCACAGUAAGUCUUUGGGAGCUUAGCUGUGGCUUUACACAGAGAGUUUCAAAGAGUUGUAGCUCAAAAGAAAUGGAGGUCAUAUGACAAUAUUAAUGUCCUGCACAGAUUAGCUUUGACAAUGAUAGCUACAUUCAUCUUUUCUUUUACCUGCACAUCUUCUAGAGAAUUCUUAGCUCAAGACAACUUGGUAUAAGAACCUAUGGAAGCUCAUCAGUGAGAGACAGAAAAUAAGCUGGAUUGGAAUAAAAUCUAGGAAACAGCAAGUCCAGACAGUGGAAGCAUUCCGGUUACAAAUGAAACAUCCACAUGGAACAGGAGUGCAGUCAGCAUCACAGGCUCUUGAAUGGAAAAGAUGAAGAGCAAUUGAUAGGCUCCGAGUUUUUAGAACGCCUUUCAACAAGAUAAAAAGCAUAAGGCAUCCCAAGUCGGCUCUUCUAAAAACAGAAAGUAGCCAUCUGCUGGGGCUGCAGAGCUAUUCUACUCUAGAGCGCUGUGUAGCCCAGCAGAACUGACACAGCACAAGGUAUACUCCUUGAUCAAACUGAUCCUUAG